rnacentral:rRNA from 1 species
GCCAGACUCCUACGGGAGGCAGCAGUGGGGAAUAUUGCACAAUGGGGGAAACCCUGAUGCAGCGACGCCGCGUGAGUGAAGAAGUAUUUCGGUAUGUAAAGCUCUCUCAGCAGGGAAGAUAAUGACGGUACCUGACUAAGAAGCCCCGGCUAACUACGUGCCAGCAGCCGCGGUAAUACGUAGGGGGCAAGCGUUAUCCGGAUUUACUGGGUGUAAAGGGUGCGCAGGUGGCAGGGCAAGUCAGGUGUGAAAGCCCGGGGCUCAACCCCGGUAUUGCAUUUGAAACUGUCCGGCUAGAGUGCAGGAGAGGUAAGCGGAAUUCCUAGUGUAGCGGUGAAAUGCGUAGAUAUUAGGAGGAACACCAGUGGCGAAGGCGGCUUACUGGACUGUAACUGACACUGAGGCACGAAAGCGUGGGGAGCAAACAGGAUUAGAUACCCCCGUAC